rnacentral:misc_RNA from 1 species
GAUGAAGAACGUAGCAAAAUGCGAUAAGUAAUGUGAAUUGCAGAAUUCAGUGAAUCAUCGAAUCUUUGAACGCACAUUGCGCCCGCUAGUAUUCUGGCGGGCAUGCCUGUUCGAGCGUCAUUUCAACCAUCAAGCCCUGCUUGUGUUGGGGUCCUGCGGCUGCCCGCAGGCCCUGAAAACCAGUGGCGGGCUCGCUAGUCACACCGAGCGCAGUAGCACAUCUCGCUCAGGGCGUGCGGCGGGUUCUUGCCGUAAAACACCCCCUUUUUACCAAGGUUGACCUCGGAUCAGGUAGGAAUACCCGCUGAACUUAAGCAUAUCAAUAGCGGAGGA